rnacentral:tRNA from 1 species
AGGGGCAUAGCUCAGCUGGUAGAGCAGUGGUCUCCAAAACCACGUGCCGAGGGUUCAAGUCCUUCUGCCCCUGCCA